rnacentral:lncRNA from 1 species
CGAUUUCUUACAUUGGUAUCAUCUGUUCCAAGGGUGGAUCAAGGCAAAAAUUUAGGACUAGUUAAUACGGAAAAAUAAAAUAAAAUAAAAAGUCACACAAAAAAUUAGGCUAGGGGAACGGGCUGUAGCGCUACUUAAUCCCCAGACCGUUACCAUUUGCUCCAUAAUGAAGCACAUUAGUCAUUUCAGAAUGUGUUACCACGAACAUAACCAAAAAAAAAAAAAAAAAAAAAAGUUGAACGUCAACCUUGAGGGCCCUUACUGUCCCGUCCCUAGAGCUUUGUGAGGGAGGUAAAUUUCGGGAUGUGCCCCAGCGGGCCAGGGAACAAGAGCUGUCUAUACACUGCGCCUACAAAGAGUCAAAUUCCAUGUUUCAGGAAUCGAACCCCCACACUACAGAUGUCAGCAAGGUAUGAAAUAACUUCACUCCUAUUUUUUGCACCACGAACAUUGGAAGACUAAAUGCAAUAACCAACACAAGUAUUUUCUCC